CCCUACGGGGCGCAGCAGUGGGGGAUAUUGCACAAUGGGGGAACCCUGAUGCAGCGACGCCGCGUGGGUGAAGGAGCGUUUCGGCGCGUAAAGCCCUAUCGGCAGGGAAGAAGAUGACGGUACCUGACCAAGAAGCCCCGGCUAACUACGUGCCAGCAGCCGCGGUAAUACGUAGGGGGCAAGCGUUAUCCGGAUUUACUGGGUGUAAAGGGAGCGUAGACGGCAGCGCAAGUCUGGAGUGAAAUGCCGGGGCCCAACCCCGGAACUGCUUUGGAAACUGUGCAGCUCGAGUGCAGGAGAGGUAA
rnacentral:rRNA from 1 species